AGUAGAUAACAUGUAUUUUCUGCAUUUUCUGUUGUCCGUCUGUUUAGCUGGAAACGGAUAUGAUGUAGUCGCCGUAUCAACAGAUAACAUU